CUAAAGUUGAACCUCAGCUUUGCCUCUUCUGCCUGCCAAAACACACACUGUAUUCAGAAUACUGCAUGGCUUGCAGGGGCAUCUAGUGGUUGAAUAUGGGUACAUGUGGCUUUACGAUGUAUUUCCUCCAAUCCAGCAUCAGCUUAAAUCGGCCUUCUCGUCUUAAACAGGUUCAUCUCCGUCAUCACAGAAAGAAGACCAAUGGGAGCAAACCUGGAGGUUGGAGAUCUGUUAAAUUUCACUGGUAAUGAAAGCCUACAGAGUCUCCCCACAUGAGUGCUGCAAUCCAUCCAUGUGGAUGGAUGGAUUUCAGUGUUGAGUCCUUUGUGCCAGAGCUUCCCACUGCAUUUCAGACCUGGUUACAGGAAACUUGUCUGAUGGAGGAAAACAAAGUUCUGUUUCCCUUCCCAUUCCUCCUGACUCUAAGCAGCAUCACACCAUGUUCUUCCUGCCUGGCUGACACAAGAGCAAUGCCAGUACGGGCCAGUGCUAAAAGACCAGAUCUCUUAAGGGAUGCAAAGAACUUGGAAACUGUGCUGAUGGACAUCGUAGACACAGAAAGUGGUGCCCUCUGCACUGACCACGGAGCGGAGUUCAGUGAGAUGGGUUAUGUCAGGAGAAUCUUCAGUCUUACAGCUGUUCCAGCAUUAACUGGAGUGCUGUGUUUCAAUGGGAGAUGGUCUGUGCCAUGAAGAACUGACACGUGAGGUAAACAAGAAGGACAAGGAGUCUUCUGACAGCUGGAGCAGCCCACGACCACCAGCUGGAAGUGGUGAAGUACAAGUGGCAAAUCUAAGCCAUUUUCCAAGGAGAUGAGGAAACCCCUGUGGCUGUCAGAGCUACUUACUCACAGUGCCACAUCAGCAUGACAGCUCUGAAGAAGCGAGCAGCUGCAAGACGUGCCUUGCUUUGGGGAGGCUCAGCAACAGCUUCUCAGGAUAACAGCAUCUCUCCAUCUGCAUCUCAGUGAUGAGUUGCAAACACAGUGCAAGUCAAUCUUUGCCAUCCAAAACAUGCUUAGUAAGAGCGGCAGCGUUUCUCUGAGAAGGUGUGGCAUUGAAUGCAAAUGAACAGUGUCUUGAGAUGGCAUUAAUUUAUGCCACAGAAAAAAAAAAAGCUCUUUCAUGUGCUCCACGUGCUACAUGACCAAAAAUGUGUUGACCUAUGCGUGGCCACACUCAGACCUCUACAAAUGGGGUUCCUUUGGAACUGUUUAUUUUCCACUCUCCAAGACCUUUCAUUGGAUAGAGCACGUUGAAAGGCAAGAAAGAAAGAAA
ensembl:lncRNA